CUAAACCCGUUACCCUUUUGGCUCUGUUUCCGACUUCACUGCUCAGCUGCAGAAAGAACACACAGGUUUCACAGAUUCAGAAGUCAGAACACCGAAAAUUUCAACCAAAUAAAACAAAAUAAAACAUUUUUAAUCAACCUUUAGUUUUGAUCGAAUCAGUGAUGCAACUUUUCUUGCAGCACCAAUGGGUUACCAAUGCGUUCGGUGUAGCUUCCCAAUUAAAUCAUUCUAUGUUCAAUAUUCUCCCGACAACAUUCGAUUGAUGAAAUGCGAGAAAUGCAAGGCUAUUGCAGAUGAAUGUUUAGAGUGUGAAAUCAUGGUUUCUGAUAUCCUUUUAUACUACUGGUUUCAAAGUUUAAAUCUUUUUUCCUUAUUUUUUAGUUUUUUAUAUGAUAGGAGCAAGGAUUGUCCUGUUUUUCUUCCCCUUCACUAUUUAUUUAUUUAUUUUUUUCAGAUUCCUAUGAUAGAUUUGAUGCUUCACAAGCAAAAAGCCUUAUAGACAUCUUCUGUACAAUGUCUUCAAUCAACAAACACUGAAGUUUGAGCAGGUGUUCAUGGAUGUCGUCUUUGGGAACUUCAUGUUUCUUCUUACUUUCUUCUUUAUGGUUAAGAUAUUUCUCAAUGCAUCAAUCACCAUCUCCAGAUGCACAAGUGAUUUGCACAAAAAGGCUAACAAGUUGCAAUUUUGAAAGGAUUGAUUACUAAUUCAAUGACAUUUUGCUCACAAUCAUGAUAUUGUGUUACUUCAUGAUUUUUCUUAUUGCCAUGAUGUAUGUAUUUUCAUGUAGGUCUGGGAAUUUCUGACUUCUGCAUCUUCAUCAUAGAAUUAUUUUGUUUAUCAGUUAAUGUCGUGGCAUUGAACGUGAUGACCAAAUCGAGUAUGCGUUUGGGCCUGCUUCGGUGCAUAUGCUGUAAAGCUUUUUGUCACUCAAGUUCUAGAUCUCAGAUUUUUAGAGCAAUUGAUAAAAGGGUGGAUUCAAAUAUCCUCCUCUUCAUUCUCUUCAGAACCUUCAUGAUCUUAAUUUAUAUAUUUGUGAAAUGCUAAUGUAUUAAUUCAUGAUCUUAAUUUAUAUAUUUGUGAAAUGCUAAUGUAUUAAUAGCAGAAUUUUGAGAUUAGAAAGUGUAUAUUCAAUUAUCAUAUACUUGUUAAUAGAAAUAGUUAAGUUUUUUUAGGAUAUAAGAGAUAGAUAGAUAUGAAGUUGUGAACACUGCCAUAUCUAAACUUUGUCCAAGAUAAUAUCAAUAAAACAAAGUUUUGAUGCAGAAA